GACGAACGCUGGCGGCGUGCUUAACACAUGCAAGUCGAACGGAAAUAUAUGAUAGUUUACUAGAGUAUAUUUUAGUGGCGGACGGGUGAGUAACACGUGGGUAACCUGCCCUAUGGAGGGGGAUAACACAUAGAAAUGUGUGCUAAUACCGCAUAAUAUAACUGAAUCGCAUGGUUUAGUUAUCAAAGGUUUACUACCAUAGGAUGGACCCGCGGCCCAUUAGCUAGUUGGUGAGGUAACGGCCCACCAAGGCGACGAUGGGUAGCCGAUCUGAGAGGAUGAACGGCCACAUUGGAACUGAGACACGGUCCGGACUCCUACGGGAGGCAGCAGUGGGGAAUGUUGCACAAUGGGGGAAACCCUGAUGCAGCAACGCCGCGUGAGUGACGAAGGCCUUCGGGUUGUAAAACUCUGUCUUAGCUGACGAUAAUGACGGUAAGCUAGGAGGAAGCCACGGCUAACUACGUGCCAGCCGCCGCCGUAAGAC
rnacentral:rRNA from 1 species